rnacentral:lncRNA from 1 species
AGUCACUGUCAGGGGACCUCCCACCCACCAUACAGGGGAACACUCGGCAGAGCCAGAGGCCUGGGCCCAAGUCCUGCCACCAGCUGGCUGUGAAACUGUGGUACAGCACCUUGUGUCCUGCCACCAGCCGGCUGUGAAACUGGUACAGCACCUUGUCCUCAGGUCCUUGGUUUCCUCACUUGUAAAUUCAUGGUUCUCCAUGGCAUCUCUGGUCUUCAACAUUAUUUUGCAUAGAGUCUCAGAAGCUUUAGUGUGAGCGGAUGAUAUGGGCACGAAGCAAGGCACCCAGAAGUGGGGGCAACUACUCUGCUUUCUAAAAUGCAAGGGAACCGGAAAAUCCAGGAGCCGUGCCAAAUGAGAAGAGGAACAAAUGGAGGAACAUCCCAGUCAAGUGACAUUCCUAGUGACAUUCACCAGAACAGAGUCAAGCUUUGGAUCCCAUGUUCUGUGACUUCCUCUUCACCACGCUUCCUCCACACACGUAGCAGCUCAAGGGUUUCUGAUGAGUGGGGAAAUGACUUACUGCAAAGAACCACUCUUCCCCACGAGACUUCGAGAAGACCCGCUGUCACGGACUGAGUUGUGUCCUCUUAAAAUUCAGAUGUUGGAGUCCAAACCCCCAGUAACUCAGAGUGUGAACGUAUUUGAAGAGGUCUUUAAAGAGGUGAUGAAGGUCUUUGUCUCUGACAAUUUGCCUCUGUGACGUGGAUGGGACUGGAAGUCCAUUUGGAGCCCUGUCUUCUCCACCUAGGGAGAGAGACCCCAUGAGCUCGUCAAGCUCCUUCUGUGACUGAUCAGAGAUCCCACCGUGAGUCCAGCUCCUGGUCCCAUGCUCUGGAUAUAUCGGUCCCUGGCAGCGUGAGUGCCUCUGUGUUCACUGUCCCAUUUGAGAAUUCUAAGUAGAAUUCUGAACAGGCUGGAGCAGAUUGCCCACCCCAAGGGACAGAUGUUGGCUGGUACUGUUGGUAUUCAUGGAAGAUUCCUUCUGACACUCCCUCCUUCUUUGUAAUUGCCAUGAACUGGAGCACUGGGCCAAUAUAAAUCAUCCAAGGGUGAACACGCUGCACAUGGACGGCUCCUCUUUGUUUUUGAAGGGAUUCCAUCUCUAUUUUGCCAUGUGCUCCUUCACCCCACUCCCCACCCCCGUCUUUCAUUUCUUUCUCUGGAAAAGAUACUUCAACUCACAGGACUGCGAUGUUGAAACGGACACCCAAGAGCAUCACAGAUGGGCCAGGCCUGGACCUCUCGGGACAACAUUCCUCACGACUUUUAGAUAGAAGAGAUUAGAGAUUUGGGACUGGUGGCAACUGGUAACGUUUUCAGUGUUUGGUAAACAGCCAGGGUCCGGAGCUCUGGGAACAGCCUGAUUUAGCUCUUUGUUUAAGUUUUGUGUUAGAGGCUCCCAAGAAGCUGAUGCAGGGGAAAGAAAUUAACAACCAUGGCUCAUUCACAGCCAGGCAGCCAAAUGGACAGCUCUAUAAGACUCAAGCCGACAGCGGAGAGAGUGCAACCAAACAGCCUUGGCCCAGCUUUCAGAGGAGAACGUUAUUCACCCCAACUGCUCUGCAUCUGCCUGGAUGUCUGCCAAGAUCUGUGAGCAUUACAGCGUUGGUAUGCUUUGGGUGAGGCCUGUGGCUAUGGCAACAAGUUGGGAGCAACCCGGUCCCUGGGAAUGAGAACAGUGUCUAAAAUCAGGCAGGCGAGGGGCAGGGAGGAGAGGUAAAGGUUGGACUUGCCUGAAGAUGGAGCCGUUUUAUUGUUGUGGGUAAAGCUGCUACCAUUAGGGGCUGUUUACAGAGUGGGUGCAGCUCAAGCUGGGAGCAUGUUAGACUCAGCGACUACGAUCAACCUAUUGACUUGUUCCCAUGAGACAGAGUAAAUUAACUGUUGCAGUACUGGUCAUGUACCACCAACCUCCUGUGAACCAGCCCUCAGUGAAACAUUUAUGUGAAAGGCCAUGGUGUUCCCAUAAGAGGGUGCAUGUUCUCUCCCUUGACUAACUCUUCAGUAUGCCUCAUUCUCACGCGCUGGUGUGCAGGAAGGAGUCCAACAUGCCCCAUUGACAGUCAUGCCCUGUAUGUGGAAAGUCUUCAGGUAGAGCACUGGGCUCAGGUUUGAAGAUGUGAGUUCUAAUCCUAGCAAGGCCAUUACCUCCCAGUGACCUCAUGUCUCGAUUUCCUCAACCACAAAACAAAGGCAUUGGUGAGCUGACCUCUAAGGCCUCUCCAGUUCUCACCUUCUGUGUCUCUACAGACUGGAGACUAGAAGAUUAUGGGCACUUUUAUUGAGUCUUCAUUUUGUUUCCAUUUCUUUGUAGUCAUCAGCUGGAGUUGAGGACAAGUUUUAACAAUAGAUAGGUUUCUUUUUGUCUCUUUUUAAAAAAUUUUAUUUAAAAUAAAUGCCAAGUGUAGUGGCUCAUACCUGUAAUCCCAGCACUUUGGGGAGGCCAAGGUGGGAGGAUUGCUUUUGAGUUUGAGACCAGCCUGGGCAACGUGGUGAGACCCUGUUUGUACAAAAAAUUUUAAAUUAGCCAGGCAUGGUGGCGUGUGCCUAUAGUCCUAGCUACUCUGGAGGUAGAGGCAGGAGGAUCCCUUGAACCUGGGAGGUUGAGGCCACAGUGAGCUGUGAUUGUGCUAUUGAACUCUAGCCUGGGCAACAGAGCAAGACCCUGUCUCUUAAAAAAGACUAUUUUUUAAGAACACUUUUAGGUUCACAGCGAAAUUUGGAGGAAACUUGGCAUAUGUCAUAUGCCCCCUGCUCCCAUGCAUGCACAGCCUCUACCAUUAGCAAUGUCCCCACUCAAAUGGUACCUUUGUUGUAAUCAACAACCCUGUACUGACACAUCAUCAUCACCCAAACUCCAUAGUUCACAUUAGGUUUCACUCUUGGUGUGGUGUACAUUCCAUGGGCUUGAACAACUGUAUAAUGACAUUAUCCACCACUGCAGGAUCAUACAGAGUAGUCUCACUGCCCUAAAACUACUCUGUGCUCCACCUGUUUGUCCCUUCUUUCACUCUAAACUCCUGGCAACAACUGACCUUUUUACUGCCUCGAUAGCUUUGCCUUCUUCGGAAUGUCAUGUAGUUGAAAUCAUACAUCAUGAAGCCUUUUCAGAUUGGCUUCAUAUAGGUUUCCUUCCUUCCUUCCUCCCACCACCUUCCUUUCUUUCUGUAUUCCUAACUCUUGGAUGUAUUUUCCCCAGCAUCAUGACUUGAUGGGACUUUUGCUAAGAUAGGCAAUCAUAGAAAGUCAUAAAUCUCUUGUCAGCCUUAUUGGCUCACCUCCGAGAUGGUUCCAACACUCUUUAAGGCCCACUUUUCCAAUCCACAGAUUCCCCAGCAGAAGUCCAAGCUGCUGAGCCUCACAUCAUCUUUUGCACUAGUAAUCUUUACCACUACUUCACUGUAGCAUUUGAAAAUUUUCAUAUGAAGCCAUAGUUCUGUGUCUUUUUUUUUUUUUUUUUUUUUUUGGAGACGGAGUCUUAACCUGUUGCCCAGGCUGGAGUGCAGUGGCACAGUCUUAGCUCACUGCAAGCUCCGCCUCACGGGUUCAAGUGAUUCUUGCCUCAGCCUCCCAAGUAGCUGGGAUUACAGGCGCGCCACCAUGCCCAGCUAAAUUUGUUGGCAUUUUUAGUAGAGAUGGGGUUUCACCAUGUUGGCCAGGCUGGUCUCAAACUCCUUACCUCAGGUGAUCUGCCUGCCUCAGCCUCCCAAAGUGCUGGGAUUAAAGGUGUGAGCCACCGCACCUGGCCUGAAGCCAUAGUUCUUAACCUCAGUUGUGCAAUAGAAUUAUCUGGGGAAUUUAAAAAUUAGAAAAAACCCAUGCCCUGAAGAUUGUGAUCUAACUGGUCUUGCGUAGCGCCUGGGCAUUGGUAUUUUUUAAAUGUUUCCCAACUGAUACUAAUGUGGCCAUUCUGCAAGCCACAGUUGAAAGGCUUAUUCAAGCAUCCUGUUGCUGAAUGCAUGUCGUCCUUACCACAUGACUCUGGAGGUUUUCUUGUAUUCUGAUGUGGCUGCCCUGUUGAGGCCUGCCCCUUAGAGUGGAGAUUAUCCCCUGCAGUAGGCUGCCUGGAAUAUGAUCCCCAGUGAUCCCUGCUUCCUGGUAUUCAGGCCCUGGUGUGAUCCCUUUCCCUUGAAGCCUGGGCUGGAUUAGUGACUUGCUUCUAACCAACAGCAUAUGGCAAAAAUAAAUGUUUAUUGUUUUAAACCUCUGUUUUAGGGUCAUU